UUUUACAACAUGAAACACAUAAAUUUCAUACCGAAUAAUCAUUUAACAUCAAAUUAUUCAUACUUUUCAACAAAACAACACCUAAGCAUAUGAACACCAUAAAUCAGAAUUUCACUUGCAACAUAAAUUUCACAACACAUCCCUGCAAUCAAAAGAGGUUUUACACAAACUAUCUAUAGAUUCAAAAAUUUCAUCAAAGUAGGAAAAUCAAAAAGAAAAGAGAGAGAGGAUAAGGAAUCAUCUCUAUCUUAUAUGCCUAAACACUCAUAUCAUGACCAAUCCCCUACCUUGAAUUCACAUCAAGCUUCAAGUUACAACAAUAUGAUAUCUCUCAUCUCUUACUUCUUGUUCUGCUAGGGCUCUCUCUGACUCUGCUGACAACUAUUUCUUACAACCA
rnacentral:lncRNA from 1 species